rnacentral:tRNA from 1 species
AUACCUAUAGUUUAAUGGAAAACACAAGUCUCCAAAACUUGAAGUUCUUGGUUCGAGUCCAAGUGGGUAUG